rnacentral:misc_RNA from 1 species
UUAAGUUCAGCGGGUAUCCCUACCCGAUCCGAGGUCAACAGUGCUGGGGGCCGGGCUCCUUACCCCCAGACGACGCAAGACUUAUCACGCGUCUCCGUGGGGGGGACUUGGAAACCCUCGCCGAUGAAUUUGAAGACGAGCCUUCACAGACAAAGUGAAGGCAAGACCGUCCAAGACCGAAAAGAGGCCCCCUUCGCAAG